CCUGUCUGCCAGCAGCACCCUGAUUCCUGCUGCUCCUGUUUUGCCACAUGGCCACCCUACCACAUGAUGUUGACUGUAACAAGUUUUAAUGGUCCACUGCUGAGAGAAGACACAAUCCUGCUGGACACAAGGAUCUUUUGUAAACAGCUUAUUUGUGUAGAUGAACAGCUGGGCAAGAUGUACUGAACUAGGAUUCGUUUCUCUAGAAGAAGAUUCUGUAAUAUCAAAUGCUUAGGGAAAAAAUUAAAAUUGAGUCACGUCACCACGUGCUAUUGCUGUCUACUUGUGUAUCUCACUUAUUUUGUACACUGAUGUAAAAAAAAAGUCUGCUGAUUCUCUUGGUUCUUGGUUCUCAGCUGUACCAGAGAAUGCACGAAAAGAGAGUGUGGUGUCAGAGACAUAUCUUCACUCUUAAUUUUCCAGCUUGAAAAUCUAUACCCCUGGGCAUAGAAGCUUUCUUUGAAUAACUAUCACUUCAGUGGUGCAGCUUCCUUCUGUAUAUCUUUAUGCAUACUGCCAGUACAGGUUUCCUGCUUAAAGACAUAAAUAUUUGCUUAUAUUGAUUUUUUUUUUUCUGGUUGAUUUGUGUAGUUUCCGUGCCUGAUAUGCCUCCUAGAUAGUGGAAAGGACUUAAUUAGUUGUGUCACUCUAGUUUUGUUCCAACUGUUUUAUGAGUUAUACACUGGAACUACACAAAAACUGUUACAAAAUUAAUCGGUUCUGUUUGGAUGUCUCACCAUUAGGCUGUUCAGAUUUAAGACUGCACACAUUUUUCUGAGAAGAGCCUAUGCUACAACAAAGCUACUAAAAACUGAAAGAGUAGAACUGAAUCUAAAAAUGGUUUUCUUUCUGGCUUUAUACAAUUUAAAUUGUUGACGUGCCAUGUAACAACCUCAGAAUCAAUCUAACAAAAUCUCGUGUUUGCAAGUACAUAACAGCCAUUAAAUAUGAAUGAUUAACUCUGUGAAA